rnacentral:rRNA from 1 species
CUUGACUGUAUCCUGGAAUUGGGUUCGGGCUUUUCUUGCGCAGCCUAGGUGGGAGGCUAUGAAGAUUUCCUUCCGGGGAAGUUGGAGCCAUCAGUGAGAGACCACUCUGGAGAGGCUAGAAUCCUAAUGGUGAUCCUUGAAUCAGGACACUUGACAGUUUCAGGUGGGCAGUUUUUCUGGGGCGGAAGCCUCAUAAAGGGUAACUGAGGCGCGCAAAGGUCCCCUCAGUCUGGACGGAAAUCAGACAACGAGUGUAAAGGCAAAAGGGGGCUUGACUGCAAGACCUACAAGUCGAGCAGGAGCGAAAGCUGGCCUUAGUGAUCCGACGGUGCCGAAUGGAAGGGCCGUCGCUCAACGGAUAAAAGUUA